rnacentral:rRNA from 1 species
UAGGGAAUUUUGCGCAAUGGGCGAAAGCCUGACGCAGCAACGCCGCGUGUGUGACGAAGCCCUUCGGGGUGUAAAGCACUGUCAGUGGGGACGAAACUUGACGGUACCCACAGAGGAAGCACCGGCUAACUCCGUGCCAGCAGCCGCGGUAAUACGGAGGGUGCAAGCGUUGUCCGGAAUCAUUGGGCGUAAAGCGUUCGUAGGCGGCAUACCAAGUCUGGUGUUAAAGCCCGAGGCUCAACCUCGGUUCGGCACUGGAUACUGGUAAGCUAGAAUGCGGUAGAGGUGAGGGGAAUUCCUGGUGUAGCGGUGAAAUGCGUAGAUAUCAGGAGGAACAUCGGUGGCGAAAGCGCCUCACUGGGCCGUUAUUGACGCUGAGGAACGAAAGCCGGGGGAGCAAAUG